rnacentral:rRNA from 1 species
GUAGGGAAUAUUGGGCAAUGGUCGGAAGACUGACCCAGCCAUGCCGCGUGCAGGAAGACGGCCCUCUGGGUUGUAAACUGCUUUUAUCUGGGAAGAAAAAGGCCAUGCGUGGCAAAUUGCCGGUACCAGAUGAAUAAGCACCGGCUAACUCCGUGCCAGCAGCCGCGGUAAUACGGAGGGUGCGAGCGUUGUCCGGAUUUAUUGGGUUUAAAGGGUGCGUAGGCGGCUGAUUAAGUCAGCGGUGAAAGACUUCGGCUUAACCGGAGCAGUGCCGUUGAUACUGGUUGGCUUGAGUGUCGGAGGGGUACAUGGAAUUGAUGGUGUAGCGGUGAAAUGCAUAGAUACCAUCAGGAACACCGAUAGCGAAGGCAUUGUACUGGCCGACAACUGACGCUGAUGCACGAAAGUGUGGGGAUCGAACAGGAUUAGAAACACUGGUAGUCC